UGCAAGUCGAACGAAGUAGCAAUACUUAGUGGCAGACGGGUGAGUAACAUGUAGGUAUCUACCCUGUGGCCUGGAAUAACACGAGGAAACUUGUGCUAAUACCGGAUAAGUCUUUACGGAGAAAGCUUUAUGCACCAUUGGAUGAGCCUGCACUUGAUUAGUUUGUUGGUGGGGUAAUGGCCUACCAAGACUGUGAUCAAUAGCUGAUUUGAGAGGAUGAUCAGCCACAUUGGGACUGAGACACGGCCCAAACUCCUACGGGAGGCAGCAGUGGGGAAUCUUGCACAAUGGAGGAAACUCUGAUGCAGCGAUGCCGCGUGAGUGAAGAAGGCCUUUGGGUUGUAAAGCUCCUUCGUCGGGGAAGAAAAUGACUGUACCCGAAUAAGAAGGUCCGGCUAACUUCGUGCCAGCAGCCGCGGUAAUACGAAGGGACCUAGCGUAGUUCGGAAUUACUGGGCUUAAAGAGUUCGUAGGUGGUUGAAAAAGUUAGUGGUGAAAUCCCAGAGCUUAACUCUGGAACUGCCAUUNAAACUUUUCAGCUAGAGUAUGAUAGAGGAAAGCAGAAUUUCUAGUGUAGAGGUGAUAUUCGUAGAUAUUAGAAAGAAUACCAAUUGCGAAGGCAGCUUUCUGGAUCAUUACUGACACUG
rnacentral:rRNA from 1 species